rnacentral:rRNA from 1 species
UACGUAGGUGGCGAGCGUUAUCCGGAAUGAUUGGGCGUAAAGGGUGCGUAGGUGGCACGAUAAGUCUGGAGUAAAAGGGAGCGGCUCAACCGCUGUUGGCUCUGGAAACUGUCGAGCUAGAGAGCAGGAGAGGGCGAUGGAAUUCCAUGUGUAGCGGUAAAAUGCGUAGAUAUAUGGAGGAACACCGGUGGCGAAGGCGGUCGCCUGGCCUGCAACUGACACUGAAGCACGAAAGCGUGGGGAGCAAAUAGG